rnacentral:rRNA from 1 species
UGGGGAAUAUUGCACAAUGGGCGCAAGCCUGAUGCAGCCAUGCCGCGUGUGUGAAGAAGGCCUUCGGGUUGUAAAGCACUUUUAGCGGGGAGGAAGGCGUUAAGGUUAAUAACCUUGGCGAUUGACGUUACCCGCAGAAGAAGCACCGGCUAACUCCGUGCCAGCAGCCGCGGUAAUACGGAGGGUGCAAGCGUUAAUCGGAAUUACUGGGCGUAAAGCGCACGCAGGCGGUCUGUCAAGUCGGAUGUGAAAUCCCCGGGCUCAACCUGGGAACUGCAUUCGAAACUGGCAGGCUAGAGUCUUGUAGAGGGGGGUAGAAUUCCAGGUGUAGCGGUGAAAUGCGUAGAGAUCUGGAGGAAUACCGGUGGCGAAGGCGGCCCCCUGGACAAAGACUGACGCUCAGGUGCGAAAGCGUGGGGAGCAAACAGG